UACGUAGGGGGCGAGCGUUGUCCGAAUUUACUGGGCGUAAAGCGCGCGUAGGCGGACUUUUAAGUUGUGGGUGAAAUUCCGAGGCUCAACCUCGGAACUGCCUGCAAAACUGGGAGUCUUGAGGUAUGGAGAGGGAAGUGGAAUUCCUGGUGUAGCGGUGAGAUGCGUAGAUAUCAGGAGGAACACCUGUGGCGAAGGCGGCUUCCUGGCCAUAUCCUGACGCUGAGGUGCGAAAGCCAGGGUAGCGAACGGG
rnacentral:rRNA from 1 species